rnacentral:lncRNA from 1 species
CAGAGAUGCGAGCCGGGAUGCCUGCCCUUGAAAAGCAGGAGAGAACAUUCCAGAAUGCAACAUCCAUCCAGGGGAGGAUGAGGGGAGGAGCCAGACUGGAUUAGUGGACAAGAAUGAAAGGAAAAACAUUAGCUUCAUUGAUGCCAACCCUCGUCAGAGCAGCAUUGAGCAGAGCGAGAGGCCUGGAUGACUGUACGUUUACAUCAUUAUCAAACCUCUGUGAAACACAUCUAUCACUGUCUCCUGCUCAUCUAUCAAAAUCCCCUGGCUUGGAUCACCACAAACAAACACUUG